rnacentral:rRNA from 1 species
UGCCAGCCGCCGCGGUAACACAGAGGGUGCGAGCGUUGCUCGGAAUUACUGGGCGUAAAGCGCGUGUAGGCGGACCGGCAAGUCAGGCGUGAAAGCCCUGGGCUCAACCCAGGAACUGCACUUGAAACUGUUGGUCUUGAGUGGUGGAGAGGGAAGUGGAAUUCCUGGUGUAGAGGUGAAAUUCGUAGAUAUCAGGAGGAACACCGGUGGCGAAGGCGGCUUCCUGGACACUAACUGACGCUGAGACGCGAAGGCGUGGGGAGCAAACAGGAUUAGAUA